UGCUUUACACAUGCAAGUCGAACGGAUUAAGAAGCUUGCUUCUUAGUUAGUGGCGAACGGGUGAGUAAUAUAUCGGAACAUAUCCGGAAGUGGGGGAUAACGUAGCGAAAGUUACGCUAAUACCGCAUAUGCCCUGAGGGGGAAAGGGGGGGAUCGCAAGACCUCUCGCUUUCGGAGUGGCCGAUAUCGGAUUAGCUAGUAGGUGAGGUAAAGGCUCACCUAGGCGACGAUCCGUAGCUGGUCUGAGAGGACGACCAGCCACACUGGGACUGAGACACGGCCCAGACUCCUACGGGAGGCAGCAGUGGGGAAUUUUGGACAAUGGGCGCAAGCCUGAUCCAGCCAUGCCGCGUGCGGGAAGAAGGCCUUCGGGUUGUAAACCGC
rnacentral:rRNA from 1 species